UACGAAGGGGGCUAGCGUUGCUCGGAAUCACUGGGCGUAAAGCGUAUGUAGGCGGAUUGUUAAGUCAGGGGUGAAAUCCCGAGGCUCAACCUCGGAACUGCCUUUGAUACUGGCUUUCUUGAGUUCGGGAGAGGUGAGUGGAACUCCUAGUGUAGAGGUGAAAUUCGUAGAUAUUAGGAAGAACACCAGUGGCGAAGGCGGUUCUCUGGGCAUGAUCUGACGCUGAGGAGCGAAAGUGUGGGGAGCGAACAGG
rnacentral:rRNA from 1 species